UAUCAUUUCUCCUAUUUCACUCUUUCUAUUGACAGCAAUCAAACCCACAAAUAAACUAAGAGAAACUAAUCUAUCUCACUGAAACUCUCGACCAAGCACUCCAUUGGAGAAGGAAGACCUCUUCUUUAAGCUUUUCCAAAGGGAGAAACAAGCUCAUCUCUUCUAGCCUCAGUCCAACAAGAGCAGCCCUCCCCUCACAUCAUUGUACUCGCAACUUAAAUCGUGCCACAAUAUCUAACUCGGCUCAUAUCACGUGGAGACGACGACGACAUUCCACACUUCCAACUUGUUGAUCCACCGCCCAUAAAAGUCUUCAAAUGGCGCAUGAGAUCUUUCUCAAGGAUUCCCAAUUGGAGAUCAAACUUCUUUCUCGAUUGUUGAGGGGUGGUACUUUGGCCUUUAAUUUAUGAGAAUCUAGGAGCAGAAGGGCUGAAGCUUCCUUAGGCUAUGUCACUGCUGUUCACUCGAGUACAAAGGAGUUUCAGGCGAAGGUGGCGGCGCGCUGGUGAUGGCGACAUCGUUGCCUAAAAUCAAAGAAGGUGGAGUCAGAGAAAAAUUUGGGAAUUUAAGGUUUGAGAGAGAGACGACGGAGGUGAAUUCGAGAGAGAGAUGGGUGGGGCGAAGGCCGUGGCUGUGGCGUCACCUGUCGCGGCAGGGGGAGGGGAAGGAGGCGGUGGCGGCGUGAAAAAGGGGGCGACGCCCUGUUGGUGCGUGCUUGUGUGUGUGUGACUGUGAAAUAUUUGAACCGACGAGAUAAUGGGAGGAGUAAAUAUCGGAACUUCUCGAUUUACCUCUCUGGUUAAUUCCCCAAAAAGACCUUCCGCAUGCUGAGUUGGUGAAAACAUUAAUUAGACGCGCUUUGUUCUUUUUUUUUCGAAUUUUGAAUGCCGUCGGAUCUAGUAUAUCUAAAGGUUGAGAUUAAUUCUUUAUUCUUUACUAGAGGGCUAUUCUUCAUAGAUCCA